CCUGUGGCUCAGAUGGUAAAGCAUCUGCCUGCAAUGCAGUGGAGCCAGGUUCAAUCCCUGGGUCAGGA
rnacentral:tRNA from 1 species